CCAUGAACAACGCAAAUUUCAACAUUCUACAGUCCUCUCCUCGCAAAGGUUUCUCCUAAGAAACCCAUGAUGUCAGGAAGUAUGCAAGAUAUACUUGUAUAGAAUGAAGAAAAAAUCAUUAAGCUUCGAUCUUGGGUGCAGUGUCAUUCUUGAAUCUUCGUGGAUGGGAUUGCAAUGAUUGAUGCUACAU
rnacentral:sRNA from 17 species